AAGCCUUCCUAGUUGACAUAGGGUCAAGUAAAGACAGAAUGUCAGGACCUGCAGACACAGCAGAGCAACUGGGAAACAAUACCUUAAAAACAAACAAAGAAAAAUAUUUAAAAGGAAUAUGCAAGAAUUUGGGGACACUCAUGAGGCCCAAAUUUAUGAGUUACCUGAGAAGACUGUGGGGUGGAAGAAAAUGAAUGCGGUAUCCAGAGAAGACCCAUGGUUGCAAAGCUUGACCAGCUCUCAAAUGCCAUCAUCUGUUGAAUAUUCCCAGGAAUUGGUCCAUGCGUUCCCUGAAAACCCUCAAGAUCUGAUAAUGCUCACCAGACCCGUCCUCACAGACACUCACGAGAUAUGCUCCACUAAUUUCCCAGGUAUUUCCUAAUCUUAGCACGUUGACAAUCAAGGCUGAGCAUCCCAACAGCACAAAGUUGACCAAGGAGCACGGGAAAAGUUGCACAGCAUCGCUACUCAUCCUGAGGAUUAAAGUGAAAACACCACGAGGAAAGAUUCCUGGUUUGUCGCUUUGCUUGAACGAGCCUGGAAGUUUGCAGCUCAUCCUCACCCAGACACCCUGGUGAACCAACUAGAAACCUGACAGUUCUUCUAGGCUGUGCAAGAAAGGUGAGCACACACAGGAGGAAAUACAUAGAGAGACUGGAGUUCAGCGUUGAAGUCAGCAGGUCACAGGCACCCUGGGUCCUUGUCACACUUGCCUGACCCUGACCCCGCCGGCACAAGAGGGUCUGGUUCUGCGGUUCCUUUACUCGCAGCAAUUGAGUCUGGUUCCCAAGAAGACGCCCCACGCAGGACGAGGAGAGCGAGCGGGUUGGAAGGAAUCCACGGCCGGAGGUGCGGGAGUGUUUCCCGGGGUGACCAGCAGGGGGCGCGGGGCGGGAAAGGCCUUCGGGGCUCCUGAAGUUGGGGUUCCCGGGAAUGAGGGGAGUGUGUGAGCCGGGCGGGCUGAGAGCAGGUUAGAGCCAGGCUGACAGCGGUUGGGGAGAAGGCGACCUGGGCGUGGUAGGCGGUUUUCACUCUACACUCCGCCCACAGUGUUGGGAGGGAGAUGACGUCAUCGUAACUCAGCGCUAACUAAUGGUUUGAUGAGUCUGACUCCCGCCGGCUCUGGUGGCGCAGGCCGGAAGGAUUUGCUGAAGGAGGCAGAGGCAGGUGGAUCUGGAGUUCGAGGCCAGCCAGGACUACACAUUUUUUUUUCUUGUCCUCCAACAAAACAUCCACAACUACACACUACACUAAAAUUCCUACACCCACAAAGCCUCUCCGCACUCUACUCUCAACCUCACGUUGUUCGCGACCGACACCCAACCGACACCAUCUUUUCUAGACGCACAGGCGCCUGCUCCACCGCGCUGCUCACAACAAGCUUUUGCUCACACACCGACUCACACGCUCCACCUCCGCGC
rnacentral:lncRNA from 1 species